GACGAACCGUCCAAACGUUAUUCGGAAUCACUGGGCUUAAAGGGUGCGUAGGCGGCUCUUUAAGUCCCGUGUGAAAGCCCCCGGCUCAACCGGGGAACUGCACGGGAAACUGGAAGGCUUGAGUUCGGGAGAGGGAAGCGGAAUUCCGGGUGUAGCGGUGAAAUGCGUAGAUAUCCGGAGGAACACCGGUGGCGAAGGCGGCUUCCUGGACCGACACUGACGCUGAGGCGCGAAAGCUAGGGGAGCAAACGGG
rnacentral:rRNA from 1 species